ACUAAAAACACAAACACUGAGUCAACAUGCAGACGUUACACACUUGUGUUGUUUCACUGCUUUAUCUCUCUAUUCUAUCAGGUGUGAGCUGUGAAGAUCUCACUGCAGAGAGGAAAGAAGAGUCCGCUUUAGAGAACAGCUCUGUUACUCUGUCCUUCAGAUACUCCAGAGCUGCUGCUGGAGAUGAUUAUUUCUUCUGGUAUAGACAAGAUCCAGGAGAACCACCACAGUUCCUCAUCUCUCACACAUCAGCUGGGAUAAUAUCAGAUCCAGAUCCUAGACUGUCUGCUGCAAUGAGUGACAAAAACCAUCGUGUGGAUCUCCAGAUCUCCUCUGCUGCACUGAGUGACUCUGCUGUGUACUACUGUGCUGUGAGGCCCACAGUGACAGGAAACACCAACACUCUGUACAAAAACCUUUGGAGCAAAGGAACCAGACCUCCAGGAGGUCCACUAGAGGGCGUGGUACACUGUCAAACAUCAGUGAUUCACUCUCCAAUGAAUCAAUCUUUCUGAGAUGAAGUUUCUGAAAUCAAACCAACUAGAGGUGUUUCUUUGGAAGGCAGACCAUCUCUUUAAAAGUUCUUCUCUGGCCCCGCCCACUGCUGUGGAACUCAACCAAUGAGAAUCCCUCUCUCUCCAGAUCAGAAAGGAGAAACUGAGAGCUCAGUCAGCUCAGCGUUGAGGAGAAGAGCUGAGCAGCAAAGAGGCUUCUUUGUGUUUUCAUUCUAUAACAGUAGAAGAACAUUACUCUCCUGCUGUCUGUUUCAACUCCUCCAAAGACAUGU